GUCGCGUUGCGAUGGCUACGGGCGUCAGCGCCGUCAAUGGCCAGGUGACUGAAGCAACCGGUCCGUUCGGAUAGGCCUCGACGAUUCCCGAGCUUCAUAGAAUGUACGUCAGUUUGCUCACCAAAGGGCUGUGUGAAAGCUACUUCCCUCCGACCUGUGUGGCGAGCCAGCUGCAGAGGCUGCCAGACAGCGGUUCACUCGGCCACCGUCAUGGCUGCAGGUCAAGGGAGCACCACGCCCCGUGAAGUCAACCCUGCUAGGGAGCACCCCCUGGAAAGGGUGACGCCUGAUGGACUGUCCCUUGGAGGAGGCGUUGCCAAUGAGGGCUUCAGCCGCACCCCGUCGGAGGCCCUGUUUGCCGUGGUGCCAGCGGCGAGCACCCCCGACGGCAGUCUCUACUCGGAGAGUGCCACCCUGCUCAAUGGGCAGCUGCCGCGUCUCACCACCCUCGAGGGCAAGCCCCGCCCCGAGCUCUUGGACGAGGAGGACACUGCCUGCCCGCCGAACAAGGUGGCGCUUGGUGGCAGUGAUCGACCACUGUCCCCUAGCGGAGCCAUCUGCUUGGACCUUGUGGCCGACGUAUCUGCCGAUGCAGCCGCCGAGGAAGAGACUGCCAUCACCAAAGAACGACUUCGUGUUGUAGCAAUUCAGGUUUUUGUUCCGUUCCUGACGGCUGGCUUUGGCACAGUCGGUGCCGGGUUGGUACUGGAUGCGGUGCAGCAGUGGCCGGCGUUUGAGCACGUCACCGAGCUGUUCAUCCUGGUGCCAGCACUGCUGGGCCUCAAGGGCAAUCUGGAGAUGACGUUGGCUGCCCGCCUCUCAACACAGGCCAAUUUGGGCAACAUGGACACCGCUGCCGAAUGUGCGGCCAUGGCCGCCGGCAACAUGGCCCUCAUCCAGUGCCAGGCGACGGUGGUGGCGUUCCUAGCGUCCCUGUUUGCCGUCCUCAUGGGAUACCUGACCGAGAGCCACUUUGAUUCGGCCCAGGCGGUCAUGCUCUGUGCCAGCAGCAUGGUCACUGCCAGCGUGGCCAGCCUGCUGCUCGGAUCCCUGAUGGUAGGUGUCGUGAUACUGGCUCGCAAGUGGCAUCUUAAUCCAGAUAAUGUGGCCACACCCAUCGCGGCCUCGCUCGGCGACCUCACCACCUUGGCACUGCUCGCAGGCGUCAGCAGCCUACUCUUCCAUCAAAUCGAUGUGGUGUGGCUGUCUCCUCUGGUGGUGUGUGUGUUCCUGGCGGGUAUUCCCAUCUGGGUGUACCUGUCCAAGCGAAAUCCCUACACCCGGGAGGUGCUCUGCACCGGAUGGGUCCCCGUCAUCUGUGCCAUGGGAAUCUCCAGUGUUGGUGGAUGCAUCCUAGACGCUGCUGUCACUAAAUACCACGGCCUUGCAGUCUUUCAGCCUGUGAUAAAUGGGGUUGGGGGCAACCUGGUGGCCAUCCAGUCAUGCAAGCUGACCACCCUGUUGGCCCAGCGCUCCAAGUUGGGCAGCCACCCGAGCUCAGAUGCCAAGAGCUGCAUCGACCCCUGCUCCGCGUUCUGUGGAAAGAACUCUCACGCUCGUACGGCACGUCUCCUGAUGCUGAUGGUGCUGCCAGGGCAUCUCAUCUUCGUGUACACCAUUAGACUCCUCACCUCUGGCAACACUGUGAUCACCCCUAUGUUCCUGGCCUGCUACAUGACGGCCGCCCUCCUUCAGGUGGCACUUCUGCUGUACACUGCGCGCUGCAUGGUGUACUGGAUGUGGAGCCGUCGAGUGGACCCGGACAAUGCCGCCAUCCCUUACCUGACGGCCCUGGGCGACCUGCUCGGAAUCGCACUCCUCGCUGCCUCCUUCUGCCUGCUGGAUGCGCUCGGCGACGCAGCAUCCACGCACCCGACUACCACCACCACCACAACGACCUUCGCACCGGUCACCGUCACCAUGCCGUUUGCCAGUACGGGAAUCAUCGACUAAAGACAUGGAAGGCUUAAGCCGUGUGGAUCAGCGGUAAAGGAAAAAAGACAGCACAUAAGAACACGUAUCUGCCAGUUCGGAUGCGCCUGCCCAUCAGCCGUGGCAAGCACAAACCAGUUGGAACAACUUCAUGCACGGCUGACGCCUCGGUGGAUGUGGCGGUCUGCGCCGAGGAUGACUUGAGUCAAAACUGGCCGUGCAAUGUCGCGUGACUGUAGUCACUGGCACAUUGUGUGUGCGUGUGUACUCCCAGUUUCCCGUGUGCCUUGUGCACUUCGGUCUUUUGGAAUCGUUUCUGUUGUUGGGCGGAACGCGAAGGUCUUUCGGAAAAGGCUGUCGUCCCGGUGCUGGUGUAGGUGUUUCAUGUUCCUCGCUUCCACUUAGAGCGUAGGCACUCUCCCAGUCGUGCGGUUGUCACCGGUGAGCGUAGAUUUGUGUCGUAGGGAGAACUCGAAGCAGAGUCCAGGUUUGCGCUGAGGCUGAUAGCGAGGUCAGCUGCGCUAUUUGAAGGUCCAUUUGUCACGGAACCUUCGUCACGGAAUCUGUCGCGAUUCCAUCAGGGCGGACGAAUGGGUCGGGAUGUGGUUUCAGGGAAUCCCAACUACAGCAAUCCGGAGAAUGUUUCGGGUUGCAAUGUCUCAAUUCCGGUGUGGAUAGCUUAGUGCGCCAGUAUUUAAAAAUACUACAUUGUUGAAAACCAUGCAUUGUUAUCAAAGAAGACAGGCAUGUCAUGCACAAAGGCCUUACCCAUGGUUUAUGUUCAUGAUAAGUGACUCAAAUAGGUAGGGUGAAAGCCCAGUGGUUCUCAUUUCUUAUGUUUUGAUGACGGCUACUGGCAACAUAAACGGGAAGCUUACGUGGAAACAACCAUUGAAAUCUCGUCUGCCCACGGAAGCUUGGAAAGCAAUGUAAAUUGGUGAGGUCGACAUGAUAAAACCAAAUAGGGAACAUUUAUUCAAGUUUUUAACUCUUUGUGUUUGUUCUGUACUCUGUUCCUUUUACUGUCUUGUGGCACGCGUUGAGUUUCAGUUUGUUACUGUGUUUCUUAGUGAAAUUUCAGUAGCGUGUUGUGGGCCUUUUUGUGAGCUUUUCAGAGGCACAGCACUUUUAUGUUACGAGACAUAAACAUGUUGUCCUAGAGCCGGCUUUAUUUGCUAAUUUUAUGAAGUACGCUUGUUUCGCCGUUGUCAAAAUGAGCGGGGAAAGAAAUCGAUGGCCAGCCACUUCUUUCCGGUCGCAAUCUCUUGGAUCAAACAUUAACUGAGCACUCGUGGCUAGUAUUUUACAAACGUGCUGCCGGGGAGCUCAAGAGCUUGUGUGGGAGAUUGAAAUCGCGGAAAGCUUUGAAAAAGGGUGCAGCUGAAAAUUGAAAGCGUGUGAGUACUAAAAUUUGUGCAUCAGUUCAGGAAAACAGUUGCAUUCAAUGGCACAAUCGUGUUGCAAGUCAAGGCAGGACAUCCUAUGGGCCUGUUGGUGAAGCCAGAGUUUUAUGGAGCCUGUGGACAAUGCUUGCUGUAAGAAAACAGUCUUGAUCCUCACUUUAUUGUUUUAGUUUUUCACUGAACAUUGCUCAUAUAUUAGCUGGAUCACAGUGGUGCAGGCAUCUAGAAAAUUUUAUUGGCACUUGCAACUGAUUUCACGUUAGUGUUCUAGUUCGAGGUUUAUGUAUUGCUAACUGGCACUUUUUAGUAAAGAAAGCAGCGUAACUCAUUCCACUUUCACUUAUUGGGGCUGCCUACGUAGUCCAGUCUUUAAAGCCUGCCAAUUGUUACUGGGCAGACAUCUUGCAGACAUGGCUAAAUUAGUUACACGUGUAGUCUGUGCAGGCGGUAGUAAUUCUGUCAAGUACUCAUGUACUCCGGUGUCCCAAAAGCUAACUCAAGUGGUGAACUGGUCAACGAAUCUGCAAUGCGCAGCCCUGAACACUUCCGCGCCGCCAUCUGUAUUCUUUAGGUGAGCGAGUUGCAUGCUCAAACCUGCAUGCGAGACCGGCGGGUUUCUGGCAGAACCAUUCAUACCCUGACAUCAUGUGGUGUUUGUAUGUAUCUCUUGAUGUUUGACGUGCAAAUAUUGACGCACUGAGGAGGCUUUAUGGCGAGUGAGCACCAGACCUGUCGUGCAUUGCUUGGUGCCAGCCUUUUUGGCGGCCGAAUCUCUCUUCGUUGCUUAGGGGCUGCGCUCGCUUUGGAGCUUCUCGGCUUUUUCGUUAGUUCUCGUGUCGCAAAGGACGAGUCCAGAAAAACUUCUGUCUUUGUGUACUCGGUGACAUGUGAGGCCCCUGAUUAAUCAGUAAAAUGAUGACUGAGGCUAGUUCAUGUUGACUUUGAAUAUGCUCUGAUCGACAGUAUCGCAAAGAGAACUGACAGACCUGUCUGUUAACCUGUUAACCCAGGUCUGUUGUGCGAGUCCUUUUCGUGAUACUUUAAAUGAACGCACACCAUAGUCCCCUGGUUAGUUUCUAGGAUUGCUGUAAGACAGACGCAAUGUGGACGAUACCGGUGAUGGCGCUGCUACCUGUCUCUGAUAUCCAGACUAUCUAGUUUUAUCGCAUGAAAGAGGUGGUUGCUUCAGCACUUUAUUCUUGGGAAGAGAAAAACAAGCGUAUGCCGCGCGGCGGUGGGUUGGCGGCGAGGUACACAACAAGACUUAUCCUGCCAUGUGUGCUCCUCAUGUACAAACUUAGCCUUUAGGAGUCCGGUGUUUCUAGCCGGUCGAAAAGUUUUCAAUGUCGUGUUGCAACCCGGAGCUCUUGCUGUGUUCCUUAGUUCAAUGUACUAGUACUGGCCUGGGCUUGUUGGCACAGAAACUGAUGAUUAAUCCUUCUUCGCGUGCUUGUUUUUUUUUUGUUCAGUCGCUUUGAGAAUAGGCACUUUUACGGCAUAUGGUGGCAUUCUUGUUGUCCCAUGCUUUUGGAUGUGUCUGACAUUUUCCUUUUCUUUUUUCCCUCUAUGUUCUUUUCUUUUCUUUCUGAUCUGCAUUUUCUCUUAUGGGUAGCCUGGAAACAGUAGAAGUUUCUCAUGGCAUUUUUAGCAGUAUCAUUAUGAGACUUUUGAUGGAUUAAGCAAUCGCGUAUAAGUUUCUCGGCAAUGAAGACGUUAAGAACAAAUAUAGACUGCUGAAGAAGAUAGUAACUAGCUGCAAGGCUGCUGUAUUAAACUUGUUGCCAUUAUUAGUAGAUUAAGACAAUUUUAAAUGAAUAUUUUAGUUUUUUAAAUUUAGGCUCGUGCUUUUUCGAAAGCAAUUGAAUUUAUCUACCAUGUGCUAUGUACAGUAGCACAACGGCUAUCGUACUUUAUUUGUGGCUUUUUUUAUGGAAGCUUAUUUUUACAUGCAAAUAAGUAUGUUUGAUGCUACAGGAUUAACGAGACCCACUGUACACAGUAGUUGACUAGUUCUGUGGAUAUUGCGUCUAGGUAGGUUAAAAUACAGUGGAAAAAUAUGUGUUGUUGUUUGUAAGUGGUUAUUCAGUGCACAUUGUAGUACCUCGGUGCGACAACUGCGCAUGAGCUGUGGUUAAGGGUCACGAACAUGCUCGUAUGAGUAGUCAUUCGAAAGCUGCGAUCUGAGAAGUUCAUUGGAAUGCACACUCCGUGUUUAAAUUCCUGAGGUAGUUAAGACUUUGAGAAGCAGUUUGGCUGCUCGGCUAAAAGCUCGUGUCUGCAAGGAGUAGGAAGUGGCGUAAAUGUUUCCAUACGUAAGCCACACAAUACAUGCUAUGCCUCCUGUUUUUGCAGCAAUGAUUGUCACUGUCUUUUUGGUCAUUUUCUUCCUCCAACGCUGCAUAUAAUUGGAGCUUUGCUAAUGGUCACUCAUACGCAUACACAUUGUCAACGAGAAUGCGAUUUGUGGUAUUGUAGCAAAAGUUUAGCAUACGAGCAAAAGUCUAGCAUACUGGUAUUACUUGCCAGUGUGUAACAAUGCACAAGGUAAAAUUUUUUUUUACACAGAUCAUCAACUGUAAAUGCGGUCAAAAUGCACAGCAUUGUUGAUUGACAGGUAUCGAUAAAUGUGACACGACAGUACUUUUUAGCCGACAAAUCUGUCUUUUUCAGGGUGCCUCUUGUAUUUUUUCGUGAAAUGGGGAGACUGCUUUGAGCUCUCUGCUGCCGCUCGUCACUCUAGCGCAUUCCCCUUGAACUGGAGCGAUGUGUGAUGUGAUACUAGUUUGAAAAGAAAAUCGGAGCUCUUUAAAAGACUAAUGUUAGUAAAAAAAAAAAAGCGCCGUUAUGCAAGACACUAACCUAUUUUUCUGGGUGUCUAAAGGAAGUGCUUAGUCAUUUGCAGAUUUGCGCUGAAUGAUUUUUGCAUGUUGCAUUUUGAGGUGGUCACACUACUCCAAUGUUGUGCAACAGUGUAGCCGUUCAAUCUCCCAUGUCAAAGCUACUCUACCAUGGUCCUCAAAGAAAAACAAGGUCAAGCCCGUGGAAUGUGUAGGAUCGAUAAUGAGAGCCAUGCAUCGUCAGCGAGCAUUAAAAUAGGAAUGUUUGAAGAAUGAAACGAGACUGUUGACGUCGAGGAAGGAUGUUAGAAUUUCACAGCAGUAGCUUUGGCUGUGGAGUGUAUGAUCGGAAAACGGCAGCACUUAAAGGCUCGCACAAGUUAGGACCGCACACUGCACCGAACUGGUGUGUGUGAUAGUGACCAUACGGUUCAGUCCAGAGCCAUCUAAUGGAGCUGAAGCAAAGGGGAAUAAUGCAGAAGGCGUAAUAGGGGUAGGUACAGUCGACACACGAAACUAAAGUCUUUCAAUGGUGGAUGCAGCGCAUUCGCGUCCCGUUGUUGAGUGCCUCGUUGCUCACGCAAGUCAUUGUACAAGUGCAACACAGCGGCGGCUGCGACAUCACUGUGGUGGUGUGAAAGAGGUCGACAAUCUGAGCAUCGGUGGCUGCUGAUUCGUCGGAAGCGGGGUAACGCUUGGGUGGCUCACUAGUUUGCGGUGUCAUGCUCGUUAGGCUUGCUGCAAUGUGAGUGAGUCCAGUGUCUCGACGUGCGCGUGUUUUAGCAGUGUUGGUAGGAAUCCAGGCAACUCAUUUUAAUUAAGUUCUUCAGCGGUGCCAUUCAAGUCAGGCAUGUUGCUGGUCUGUUUGAGCAUCUGGAUGGGUAUCGACAGAGCAUUGUGUUUGGUCAGUCUCUGGAAGAUUCUGGUCACCCCCUAUGCAGCCAUCUGCUUGUAAUGUCGGAGCUUGCAUUUCUUGUCUGGUUUGCCCGUGCUGUGCUGUAGCUGGCGUGAGUGCUUGAAACACGCCCCGUGCUUUUCCGUGUGUUAUUCCAUUGUGGAUGUUGGCUGCGCAUUUUUUAUUUCCCCUGAAGCUGCUGGUUGAUUCUACCUUUAAAGAUGGGAGUUUCGUGCGUGUUGGGUGUGCAUCGUUGACUUUUCCACGAAGGCAUUCCGCAAUACCUCUACUGAAGGAAACCUUCGUGGUCACUCUUUGGGCAAGUUGUAAUGUCUUAAUGAUAUUGAUACAUAUUUGCAUUUAAGUUGAGGGAAUCGGAGUCUCAAGACUCUUUUAGCAGAACCCAGGAAUUGGCCUUGCAUUUGUAAAGAAGCAGCAGGUGGACAUUUGCCAUGUUCUGUAUCACGGGUAUCCGCAGCUUUGAGCUGAAGUUCUGUUGAAGCGUGGAGUGUUUUGAACAGCAUUCUGCCAAACAGUUCCAGAAGGUCGUGAUGAACCUGUAGCAGUCUUACUUUAGACAGUCUUUUUUUUAGAGAGACUGCAGUGAAGUAUCGCAUCCCAAUACCCUGCUUGCCUUGGCAUGGUCAAUGUUUAGUACUCUCAGUCAUCUUAUGUUCGCAUGCGUGGCACCCCAGCGGUGCUUUGCCGACCGUCUCCUGUAGGUUACGGUACUCAUUCCAAUGAUGCAGUCAACAGCUUUCAUGCUUCUGUUGUUACUGCAAGUAGUGACUGGUGGAGGUAAAGCCAGAUUUACACGACAGACUUGACCGCAUAAAGAUUGGCCAAGCGGCAAAUGUUACCGCAAACUUGCAAAUAAUUCCUGCCUGCUGCGAGCAUCGACAAUGAUGCAGACAACAUUGGAACAAAUGAAAAUUGCUCUCACACCGAGAGCCACACCUAGUGCAAUUUGAUCGCGUGUGUUUUGUGUGGCGGUUUUCGCGGAUAACGCGGAGGCAUUCCCAAGAAGCGGCAUGCGGUGACAUGCUGUGUGCUGUUGAGGCCCAUAUCUCAACUUGGUCUGUUGUGUGAACUUGGUCUUGAGGCAUUCUGUCUGCUCUACAAGACUUAAGCGUUUUCUCCAAAGCGUCGUUUGAUUUAGGUUUAUGGUAAGAAUGUGGGCAUGGCACUGGGAGUGCACUUAGAGCACGCUGGGAGCAACCGCUGGUGCAAGCAUGAAUACUAGUUCAUCUCCACUCCAGUACUUUCCUUUUCUUUUUUGCCUUGGGCACUUCCUCGUGUCAUUUUGGGACUAGGAUUCUCAAGCACGUAAUGUUUACUGUUGUGCAGAGACAUAUCUAAUCUCUCUUCUCUAGGCCAAUGAAUUGUCAUAUUGAAUUGUCUUUGUUUGCACAGAUACAGAGUACUUAUAUUUAGUAGUAUUCCCUUUUGGAAUGUUAUUUUGAAUGCAGCAUGGAAGGAAACGAGUAUUGUUUUGUAUUUUGGUAUUAUUCUGUUUGGUGUUAACGCUUUUUUAGGCUUUUAAAUGCAUCCACUAACUCGAUACACACAUAUUGUUUUUAUCUCUUUUUUUUUCAAAAAGAAAAAGAUCCAGGAAAGAGCUGGCAAGUGUACUUUCAAACUUUAUAGGCCAUGUGGUGUUUGUAUUUGCGUUGUUGCAAAUGUUGCGCUGGGAGUUUUUCUCACAAGCUUCUAACUGCACGUGUACGAGAUGCUUGCGUAGUAAUCCGCCACAACCUCCGCCCCUGUCUCACUGCCUGGGCCGAAAAGUGCGAGGGAUAUUUGUGUAGACUCCUAUGUCCGAGAAAAAUGUGUGGACUGGUGAACUGUGAGAACGCGUGCUGCACUUUCUCACAUGAUAGUUUCGAUUGAUCGAGCCUGGCUCUCAGAGCACGUGCAAUGUCUGGUCUCAAAUCUUACUGAUCGAUGAGGUGCAGUCUUACUGAUCGAUGAGAUGCAGUUUUUCAGUGCAGUAUGUUAUUUAUUGCCCAUGGCUGCCCCUUGUCAUUUUAUUUUUGCAUAAAUAUUGCAUCUGUACCUUCACCUCUAAUGUAUUGUCAAUUUUAGGUGGUAAACCCUCUUUCUUAAUCUUUUAACAGUUAUUGUGAGCAUAACGGUGCAGAAUUCUCUUCAUAUUUUUGCCCUGUGGUUUUUACAAGUGUGUUUUUGCAUCUUGAUAGCCCCGUGAACGCGUGUUUUGAUCGUUUCUUUUGUCUCAUUGUUUUACCUAUGCCUCUUGCUAAGGCCGCAAGAAUCCCAGAGAUCUUCGUUUCACAAUUGCGAUACGCUGUGAGCCAGCCAGUUUAGUCUUGUGGCUAGGUUAGCAAUGCAUUUUUAAAAAUAUUUCAUUUGUGUAAUUGUCACUAUUAAUGGUAUUGAAUGCAAUUUCAGAGCGUUGUCUUGACUUGUUGAGCUCGUCUGUUUUAGAUUCUCUUUUUUUCUCAAAGAACUUGUAUUUGUUCCGAACUUUCAUUGAGCUGCGUUCUGCUGCAAUGGUUUUGUAUAAAGACUGCCGGUGUAUUUGGGAACUGCAUUUUUCUCCUUCUUUGUUCAACGUCACGAGAGUUAAUGAGGUUGAUCGUUGUGCGUGAGGGGCAUAGAAAUGAGGUGUACGUCGCUAUGGUGCCAUGACUUCUAUAUAACGCCGGCACAGUGCAGGGGUCACAAAGGCACAGGCUGAGGGCCGCAGCUGCUGCUCUAAGGCAGUAGCCCUUCAGUAUUUUAUUAACCAAGCCUCUAUCUCAGGGCACUUCUGACUUGGCAAAAAAAAAAAAAGCUUAUAUAAAUCAUUUGAAAUCAGCUUUGUCGCCCUGCUGUCAACAGCAACCUAGGCGUUGCUGAAGAGUUCAUAAGGAAUAUGUUACGUGCAUACUCUGUUAGCCCUCUAUUCUUUUGUACACGCGAAGCUUUUCUCUUGGGUUGAUGAAAACUUCCUGCAAAUGGCUCCAACAGCACACAUGCUGCUAUUGUGGGCUGUUUGUGCAGAUGCAGCUAUGUAGUCAUGCUGAAACGUCCACAUAGUGUUGCAUGAGUGCUGCGCAAUGCAGCCGAGGUACACGCACGCUUUCUCCCCUGAAGCAUAAAGACCAGUUGUCGGAGAUAGGCUCGUGUUAGCAUUGCACUCUACUUGUGAACUCGAUGUCUGUACAUGAGGUGCUCUUGUGAGAUACUCUUUAUGCGUAGUUGCGAAGCCACUCUGCCAAUGGGAAUCGUAAUUGAAACGUGAAGCCAUGUUUUCGUAACUCGUGAACGUGGCAUAGGCAGGAGGUAGCCAUUUCAGUUUCCAAACCCUUCUGAAGUAUACUAAACCCCUCGAAGGGGCUGACAUGCGUGUGAAGGAUAUAUAUUCUGGAAAACCCUCUCCCAGAUUAAGAACCAGGCACAGACACUAGGGGCAGGCCUCAUGCUCAUAAAAGCCCAGGAGUGUUUGUUUCGUGAAGCCUUUGGAUUUUCAAAACAACUGCAUGUAUCCCGGUCAUGCAUGCAGCAAUUUUGGAGCUUGUGAUAGUCGCAUCAUUUUACAAAAUGUUUGAUUUUCGCUUAAGGCGUAAUCACCCGAGAACAUCUUCAAGUAGGCACAACGUUCAAGUUUCAUAGCUGUUUUAAAUAUUGCAACAAGAGCUGGAGUUUAAAAGAAAGAAGCGCAGUUGCAUUUGCUGAUGAGGUUAUGGGCCGGUUUUCUUGGUUUCCUCGAAUAUUGGGGUCGUCUGGUUAUUGGGACACUGGGUUCCACAGACCUCAGACUCUUGUGCACUUUGCGCACGAAACUUGCGCCUAUGCCAGCUGCCCUCCCUGCUGUAAACCCAGUGAUUGUGUCUCUUUAUUCAUUCUUUUCAAAUGUGUGUGUACGUGCUUGUGCUGUGAUGUCGGCCGCUCUGUCGCGUUCUGUUGCCUUUAGGCCCUUUCGUGGGACGAUCGUUGGACAAUGCCGUGGGAGUCGGAUGGCCUUGUAUAUGGGAGGGGUAUGGAAAAUGCAAGUCUUUCAACUGUAUAGCCUGAAUCGGUCAUUUCUGCUUCUCCUAGGCCCUGUGUAAUGGACUUGGGUGAUCGUGCAACCGUCUACCUGUGUACUUAUGCCUUGUUUGUGUGUGUCUCCACGUGUUUGUGUAGUGCGCGUCACACUUAACAGGAACCUUACCGGCAUUCAAGGAGAGUCAUCGUGGUAACCUUUAUAAGUGCACACGUUUUGACACUUAUAAGUACAGGAAACCAUGUACUUAAUUGCCUGCAAUGUUUAUCAUAUUUCUCAUCUCUACUGCAGUUCGAGCUGAAGCAAAAUUUACAGGAGUAAUGUAUUUAGUUGCGCUGUCGGGAUGGAGUUGAUUGGUUGUACAGUACCAGAUGCUUGGUGGAGCAACGUGAGGCAUUCUUUCGCACUGCGGUAUUAAAACAAACUAGCCUGACCAUUAUGAUGUGAAGAUGUGAUUUUGUAAAGAUUACCAUUGCAGAUUCGAGUGUAACUCCCGCAUUUCAACAGUUAUCUAGGAGAAUGUUGGGGACAUUUUAGGUGGACGAAUGUGAAAAUUAAGGCUUGCCACAAACAUCCAUGUUAAGCCGAAAACCUGUUGAUAUGAUAUUGCAAGUGUUCCAUGUAAGUGUGAUCCGCGAUGUGAGUAUGCGUCUAGCGUUUGCUCGUUGAUGUCGGCCUUUUCGCUUCACGCGGUGUACGGCUGCGCGCGUGACGUCAGUGCUUUCAGCGCAGCCGUCGCCACCUGCUCGAAGUCUGCCUUGUGGUGGUUGCGAUCCACGUGACCUUUGAGUCAGUGCAAAAUAAGGAUGAUGACGGUGAUUGAGCAAAAGUUACAAUAAAAGUCACUGAUUGUGCGUA
rnacentral:misc_RNA from 1 species